GAAGUGAGAUAAAGGAGGCUUUGAAGACGAGCGUGCUCCAGUUGUUGACAAGCAAGGGCAGUAAGACAGAGCUUCAGCUGGGAUUUAGAAAACCUGCAGUGAUUAUGAUUUUUGGUGUUAAUGGAGGGGGAAAGACAACGUCUCUUG